GACGAACGCUGGCGGCGUGCUUAACACAUGCAAGUCGAACGGAAAGGCCCUGCUUUUGUGGGGUGCUCGAGUGGCGAACUGGUGAGUAACACGUGAGUAACCUGCCCUUGACUUUGGGAUAACUUCAGGAAACUGGGGCUAAUACCGGAUAGGAGCUCCUGCUGCAUGGUGGGGGUUGGAAAGUUUCGGCGGUUGGGGAUGGACUCGCGGCUUAUCAGCUUGUUGGUGGGGUAGUGGCUUACCAAGGCUUUGACGGGUAGCCGGCCUGAGAGGGUGACCGGCCACAUUGGGACUGAGAUACGGCCCAGACUCCUACGGGAGGCAGCAGUGGGGAAUAUUGCACAAUGGGCGGAAGACUGAUGCAGCAACGCAGCGUGCGGGAUGACGGCCUUCGGGUUGUAAACCGAUUUCGCCUGUGACGAAGCGUGAGUGACGGUAAUGGGUAAAGAAGCACCGGCUAACUACGUG
rnacentral:rRNA from 1 species